GACGAACGCUGGCGGCGGGCUUAACACAUGCAAGUCGAACGGAAAGGCCCUGCUUUUGUGGGGUGCUCGAGUGGCGAACGGGUGAGUAACACGUGAGUAACCUGCCCUUGACUUUGGGAUAACUUCAGGAAACUGGGGCUAAUACCGGAUAGGAGCUCCUGCUGCAUGGUGGGGGUUGGAACGUCUCGGCGGUUGGGGUUGGAGUCGCGGCUUAUCAGCUUGCUGGUGGGGUAGUGGCUUACCAAGGCUUUGACGGGUAGCCGGCCUGGGAGGGUGACCGGCCACAUUGGGACUGGGGUACGGCCCGGGCUCCUACGGGGGGCAGCGGUGGGAAAUAUUGCACGAUGGGCGGAGGCCUGGUGCAGCGACUCCGCGUGCGGAAUGACGGCCUUCGGGUUGUAAACCGCUUUCGCCUGUGACGAAGCGUGAGUGACGGAAAUGAGGAAAGAAGCACCGGCUAACUACGU
rnacentral:rRNA from 1 species